rnacentral:rRNA from 1 species
CCCUUAGAUGUUCUGGGCUGCACGCGCGCUACACUGAAGCGUUCAACGAGUAUUUCACCUUGCCCGGGAGGGUUGGGUAAUCUUUUUAAAACGCUUCGUGAUGGGGAUAGAUUAUUGCAAAUAUUAAUCUUGAACGAGGAAUUCCUAGUAAGCGCAAGUCAACAGCUUGCGUUGAUUACGUCCCUGCCCUUUGUACACACCGCCCGUCGCUACUACUGAUUGGAUGUUUAAGCGAGGUUCUCGAACUGCUAGCGACUUAGCUUCGGUGAGGUCGCAGUGUGGGAAGUGAACCUAGCUUUGGUGUCUAGAGGAAGUAAAAGUCGUAACA